GGUGGAGACAAACAAAAUCUCACAUCUGAUCUUCUUAGCAUUUUCACGAAGCAAAACAUUGGCUUGCAGCAAUUAUUACAUCCCAGUCUAGCUAGCUAUCCCUUUCUCUUUGAAAAUUUUCGCAAGUGCCUUUCAACAUCAGCUAGAAUCGUCAACAUAAGGCUUGGAAUUGCACACGGCAUUUGCUGACAUUACAUUAUAAAUAUAAAUAUAUAUAUGCUUGGAUUAACGAACAGCUAGCUAAUCUUGUAACUCAUCGAAAAAAUGGCCAGAGGAGCAUAUGUUGUUCUAGGUGGUGGCCACGCAGAGGAACUAGGCAUCAUGCAAGACAACUCGGGGGGGAUAAUUUUGCUCUGCAUGAUUCUUAUGUCUCUCUCACUUAUAUCAAUGGUCAUAUUUGCUUGUGGUGAUGAUGAAGGAUCAAGCAAGAAAAGAUACCGAAACAGAGGUGGUGGCGGUGGCGCUGCUGCUGGUGCUGGUGCUGCUGGUGCUGGUGCUGGUGCUGCUGCUGCUGCUGCUGCUGCUGCCUGUGGCGGUGGAGGUGGAGGUUGUUAGGAAGAUAUAUAUAACCAUAUUUUUGUAAGUUUCGAGUCCACAUCUUUGGCAUAUGAUAAAUAAAUUGCUUCUUUUUUAUA